rnacentral:pre_miRNA from 1 species
AGAUGCAUUACUGGGCAAUUCCUCUUUUGGCAGAAGUUGAAAUGCAUGGCGGCCUCUUAAUGGAUCGAUCAAUAUUUGAUGCAUGUGGUUCAAAUAGCGGCCCAAUUUGUAUUACUAGUUCUGCCGAAGGAGAUUUGCCCGGCAAUUCAUCU